rnacentral:rRNA from 1 species
UACGAAGGGGGCUAGCGUUGUUCGGAAUUACUGGGCGUAAAGCGCGCGCAGGCGGUUCUCCAAGUCAGUGGUGAAAGCCCGGAGCUCAACUCCGGAACUGCCAUUGAAACUGUUGAACUUGAGGACGAGAGAGGUGAGUGGAAUUCCCAGUAGUAGAGGUGAAAUUCGUAGAUAUUGGGAAGAACACCGGUGGCGAAGGCGGCUCACUGGCUCGUUUCUGACGCUCAGGCGCGACAGCGUGGGGAUCAAACAGG